rnacentral:sRNA from 1 species
GUGGUCUCAAUGCCCACUUAGACUCUGCCUCUGAAUUUGACCAUAGUGGCGUUCAGCUGAUAGAGCGGGAAGAAGAAAUAUGCAUUUUUUAUGAAAAAAUAAAUAUCCAAGAGAAGAUGAAACUAAAUGGAGAAAUUGAAAUACAUCUACUGGAAGAAAAGAUCCAAUUCCUGAAAAUGAAGAUUGCUGAGAAGCAAAGACAAAUUCGUGUGACCCAGAAAUUACUGCCAGCCAAGAGGUCCCUGGAUGCUGACCUAGCUGUGCUCCAAAUUCAGUUUUCACAGUGUACAGACAGAAUUAAAGACCUGGAGAAACAGUUCGUAAAGCCUGAUGCUGGAACUACAACUGGCCAAGAAGGAGGAGAAGCUGCUGGAGAAGGAUUUCAUCUAUGAACAGGUCUCCAGGCUCACGGACAGGCUCUGCAGCAAAACUCAGGACUGCAAGCAGGACACACUGCUCUUAGCCAAGAAGAUGAAUGGCUAUCAAAGAAGGAUCAAAAAUGCAACUGAGAAAAUGAUGGCUCUUGUUGCUGAGCUGUCCAUGAAACAAGCCCUAACCAUUGAACUCCAAAAGGAAGUCAGGGAGAAAGAAGACUUCAUCUUCACUUGCAAUUCCAGGAUAGAAAAAGGUCUGCCACUCAAUAAGGAAAUUGAGAAAGAAUGGUUGAAAGUCCUUCGAGAUGAAGAAAUGCAUGCCUUGGCCAUCGCUGAAAAGUCUCAG